GACAUUGGUGUAGUGGUUUGAACACUGGACUACAAUUCUGGAGAACAGGGUUCAAAUCACUGCUCAGCCA